ACUCCUACGGGAGGCAGCAGUAGGGAAUCUUCCACAAUGGGCGAAAGCCUGAUGGAGCAACGCCGCGUGGGUGAAGAAGGUCUUCGGAUCGUAAAACCCUGUUGUUAGAGAAGAAAGUGCGUGAGAGUAACUGUUCACGUUUCGACGGUAUCUAACCAGAAAGCCACGGCUAACUACGUGCCAGCAGCCGCGGUAAUACGUAGGUGGCAAGCGUUAUCCGGAUUUAUUGGGCGUAAAGGGAACGCAGGCGGUCUUUUAAGUCUGAUGUGAAAGCCUUCGGCUUAACCGGAGUAGUGCAUUGGAAACUGGGAGACUUGAGUGCAGAAGAGGAGAGUGGAACUCCAUGUGUAGCGGUGAAAUGCGUAGAUAUAUGGAAGAACACCAGUGGCGAAAGCGGCUCUCUGGUCUGUAACUGACGCUGAGGUUCGAAAGCGUGGGUAGCAAACAGGAUUAGAUACCCUGGUAGGAUAGGG
rnacentral:rRNA from 1 species